rnacentral:misc_RNA from 1 species
GAUGAAGAACGCAGCGAAAUGCGAUAAGUAAUGUGAAUUGCAGAAUUCAGUGAAUCAUCGAAUCUUUGAACGCACAUUGCGCCCGCCAGAAUUCUGGCGGGCAUGCCUGUUCGAGCGUCAUUUCAACCAUCAAGCCCCCGGCUUGUGUUGGGGACCUGCGGCUGCCGCAGGCCCUGAAAAGCAGUGGCGGGCUCGCUGUCACACCGAGCGUAGUAGCAUACAUCUCGCUCUGGGCGUGCUGCGGGUUCCGGCCGUUAAACCACCUUCAUAACCCAAGGUUGACCUCGGAUCAGGUAGGAAGACCCGCUGAACUUAAGCAUAUCAAUAAGCGGAGGA